rnacentral:lncRNA from 1 species
AUGGGUGGCCCGGCUGUGAGGGAGCCCACAGUGGCGGCGGCGGCGGCGGGCGGCACUGGUGGAGUUGGGAAAAGUUGCGAGGCGGCCGCUGGAAGUUGCGCGGGCGGGCUGGCGGGCGGGCUGCGCCGAGCCCGCGGCUGCAGUAGUGGGCGCUGUGCGCUCGGCCAUGCUGGCCGGCGCGCGCGGCGCGGCGGGAGGACCCGGGCAGGGAGUGGGGGAGACAAAGGUGGGGGGGGGCUGAGUCGCGGGGUGAGGGGUACCACCACAGCCGAACUCCCGACUCCUCAGAGCCACUGGCAGGUGGGCCGCGAGGAGGCCCUGAAAGCGCGUGGAGAGCCGGGAAUGGAGGGCGCGCGGCCAGCGGUUGCCGAGGAGUUGGGAGGGCGAGAGGGCGCUCUCCGAACCGCGAACCAGGGGCUGGCGGGGCGCCGAGCGACCCCCAGGGGGCGAGCUGCCCGAACGUUGGGUCGCGGAGGGGGUGCGGUUGAACCUCUCGCUCUGCUGGGUGCAGCCCGGGUCCCGGGUCAGGAACCCUCCCCGGCGCCCCCUGCCUGCCCAGUGCGUUGCAGCCUUAGUCACGCGGGACGAGGCCGCUUGGCUUUGGGGCUGGGGGCCGUGGGACCCUCAUUCCUCACUCUUCCAGCCAAAGUAUUGGGUGACUGUCCCGGCGUGGCCUGCCGAGCCGACACCAUCCGACACGGCGUGUUGUGUAGGCAACACGGGUGGGUUUGUCCAAAUGCUUCUACCCCCAAUCUAAGGGGACUCGUGGCGCCGAGCCCUGGAGCAGCCCGCGGCGCCCUCAGCAGCGUCGGCACGCGGGGCUGGAGCUGCUCCCAGGGAGACCAGGCCGUCCCUGGUCCUCCUCACAUUUGCACUUGGUGGAAACAGAACUGUACGCGCUUUGCUGGUAGACCAGAGACCAGAAAUGAGAGAUUGGGGAGGGGGUUGCAUUUCCUCAGCGAGGUCCCCAGGCCCCCCUUCCCCGUCCCUGGCCGUUUAGAACCAGGUUUGGCAGGCGCUGCACGCCCCCCCCCAGGCGGUGGCCGCCCCUCGGCGGGCUCGGCGUGGCGGGCGGUGGGAGUCGGCGGGUGCCGGGCGUGA